AUUGAACGCUGGCGGCAUGCCUUACACAUGCAAGUCGAACGGCAGCGGACCUUCGGGUGCCGGCGAGUGGCGAACGGGUGAGUAAUGUAUCGGAACGUACCUUUCAGUGGGGGAUAACGUAGCGAAAGUUACGCUAAUACCGCAUAUUCUGUGAGCAGGAAAGCAGGGGAUCGCAAGACCUUGCGCUGAUUGAGCGGCCGAUAUCAGAUUAGCUAGUUGGUGAGGUAAAGGCUCACCAAGGCGACGAUCUGUAGCGGGUCUGAGAGGAUGAUCCGCCACACUGAAACUGAGACACGGUCCAGACUCCUACGGGAGGCAGCAGUGGGGAAUUUUGGACAAUGGGCGCAAGCCUGAUCCAGCCAUGCCGCGUGAGUGAAGAAGGCCUUCGGGUUGUAAAGCUCUUUCGGCCGGGAAGAAAUCGCAUGGGUUAAUACCCUGUGCGGAUGACGGUACCGGCAUAAGAAGCACCGGCUAACUACGUGCCAGCCGCCGCCGCAGUAA
rnacentral:rRNA from 1 species